CCACCCAAUGCUCCGCCUACGCCUGACUCAAGGUUGCCUGCCGAGGCGGCGCCGCUGAUCAAGGUAAGAGACAACAACAGUAUCGAGGAAUACUUCAUGUAUGGAAUCUCAUAGGGAUGACGGCGCGAUCUUGGUGUCAAGUGAAGAACGUAGCAAUGUAAAUCCGACGAGUAACACGAUUGCAACACAACUUGCUAAGUUAUUGUUUUGGCUAAGGAACUUAAGUCGGGAAAGACAGUCUCAGGUUACUUGUGAAAGGCCCGUUUCGAGAGAGACGGGCCUUUUUCAUGGGCGUUUUUUACCGGCUUAGAUAAUCCGCGCCGACUCUGUCGAACGCUCAAGGCGAAUGGCCACGAACUUCGACGUUGGCGUGCUGCUGCCGGCGCCGAC
rnacentral:sRNA from 1 species